rnacentral:rRNA from 1 species
CAUGCCAAUGGCAUUGCCCGGUAGCUAAAUGCGGAAGAGAUAAGUGCUGAAAGCAUCUAAGCACGAAACUUGCCCCGAGAUGAGUUCUCCCUGACCCUUUAAGGGUCCUGAAGGAACGUUGAAGACGACGACGUUGAUAGGCCGGGUGUGUAAGCGCAGCGAUGCGUUGAGCUAACCGGUACUAAUGAACCGUGAGGCUUAACCUUACAACGCCGAAG